UCGAGGAUGAGGAGUUAGAACUGGUGAAAAAGAGCUCUAAAUGGGACAACUUUGACAUCUCUAGGACUAGGAAUGUAGUAUUUAAGCUUGAGUUUGUAGCCCCAAAGUGAAAGGAUGAGGUGGAUAUAGAUGAAAUAAAGUAUGAGGAUAUUGAAAUUGAGAUUUGAGUUUUGGAAAAUAUAGUUGUCUGCUAUGUGUUAGGUGCCUACCUAUUGUUUGAAGUAAUAAAGGG
rnacentral:lncRNA from 1 species